AGUCGAGCGGCAGCGCGGGGGCAACCCUGGCGGCGAGCGGCGAACGGGUGAGUAACAUAUCGGAACGUACCCCGUCGUGGGGGAUAACACAGCGAAAGUUGUGCUAAUACCGCAUACGACCUGAGGGUGAAAGCGGGGGACCGUAAGGCCUCGCGCGAUGGGAGCGGCCGAUAUCGGAUUAGCUAGUUGGUGAGGUAAAGGCUCACCAAGGCGACGAUCCGUAGCUGGUCUGAGAGGACGACCAGCCACACUGGAACUGAGACACGGUCCAGACUCCUACGGGAGGCAGCAGUGGGGAAUUUUGGACAAUGGGGGCAACCCUGAUCCAGCCAUUCCGCGUGAGUGAAGAAGGCCUUCGGGUUGUAAAGCUCUUUCGGCAGGAACGAAACGGUGUCCCCUAAUACGGGGCGCUAAUGACGGUACCUGAAGAAGAAGCACCGGCUAACUACGUGCCAGCAGCCGCGGUAAUACGUAGGGUGCGAGCGUUAAUCGGAAUUACAGGGCGUAAAGCGUGCGCAGGCGGUUCCAUAAGACAGAUGUGAAAUCCCCGGGCUUAACCUGGGAACUGCGUUUGUGACUGUGGGACUCGAGUGUGGCAGAGGGGGGUGGAAUUCCACGUGUAGCAGUGAAAUGCGUAGAGAUGUGGAGGAACACCGAUGGCGAAGGCAGCCCCCUGGGUCAACACUGACGCUCAUGCACGAAAGCGUGGGGAGCAAACAGGAUUAGAUACCCUGGU
rnacentral:rRNA from 1 species